rnacentral:rRNA from 1 species
UUUUAAUUUAGAGAGGUAGUGACGAUAAUUAAUAGAGUUGGUCUAUUCGAUCAAUUCAAUUAUAAUGAUUAGAGUUUAAAAAAAUUUAAGAAAUCGAUUGGAGGGCAAGUCUGGUGCCAGCAGCCGCGGUAAUUCCAGCUCCAAUAGUGUAUAUUAAAGUUGUUGUGUUUAAAAAGCUCGUAGUCGAAUUAUAAGUUUUUUAUAAUAGUUUUUAAAAAGACUAAUAUAAAAAAAGGAGAAAGGUUUUUUUAAUCUUUUAUUUACUUUGAAAAAAAUAGAGUGUUUAAAGCAAAAGUUAAUUAAUGUAUAAUGAAGCAUAGGAUAAUAAUGAGGAGAAUAAAUUUUUGAGAACAGUAUUAAAAAGGGAAAUUGGGGUAAUUUAGACAAAAUCGGGAGAGGUGAAAAUUCAUGAUCGAUUUUGGAUAAACUAAAGCGAAAGCAUUUUACUCAUAUUCUUUUAUUUGAUCAAGAACGAAAGUUAGGGGAUCGAAGUCGAUUAGAUACCGUCGUAGUCCUAACUAUAAACUAUGUCAACUGGGGAUUGGAUGAAAAUAAACAAGAAAGAUUUUUUUUCGAUUCGGAAGUUUAUCUUAAUUGUUACUCUCUUAUUCAGGAUUUAA